UUCGUGUUCUUGAUAAGAAUG
rnacentral:piRNA from 1 species